AACUGUAGAGUUAAGUUGGUAUUCUGUAUCAGUACAUGUCAGAUUUUUAAUAUAAAUUGUAAUUUAGGUCAUUGGUAUCUGUCUUCUUAAUCCUUGCAAUCCUCAUUCUGGACUAGUGGCUAUGAAUCACUAUACAAAUUUUUUAAAUCUGUCUUUGCUUGGUCUUGCAGGUUUUUCCCUACAGUAGAGAAUUUCUUGGCAGUAUAACACAUGAUCAGAUGUUGAAGGCUAAUGUCAUGGCUGGUGAUAAUGCAUAUCACCAGUGAAGUCGUUGCUUGAAGAGAUAAUGCAAUGUGCGAGCAAAGCAUAUUGUUGGCAUGUAUGAAAGGGAACAAAUCUCUUCAAAAGAAUUGGAGGAAGCAAUUGUACAACCUCAAGGAUGGGAAUCCAAGCUUCCUUGUAGUUAUUCAACGAUUUUGACCAUUGGAAGAUAUCUAAAUGUCAUUAGAGAAUGUGGGUAGAAUGGUUAUCCACCACCAUGAUUUUUUCCUUGAUAAUUUUCUCAAAGAAUGCUUCUCUAAACUACUGAAGGGGGAAGAUGUUCGAUAGAGAGAUCUGAUUGAAGAGUGAAAAGAAUGAACAAGGAAAUUUGAGAAAGCUCCUAAUCCGCAUGUUGAGCCCAAGAAAAAUUGUAAAGAUUGGAUUCCUUCUUUGGUACACAUUCCCUACAUAUCAAAGUUAAUGAAAUGUGAAGGUAAAAGAAAUCAUGUUGCACAUUGUCUUAAAAUUCAAGCCACAAAAAAAUCUUUGGUUCAAGUUAUU